rnacentral:misc_RNA from 2 species
GGAAAUUAUAUUAAUUUCC